AACAUUGUACUGAGAGAUGUGUCAUGCAACGGAAGCAUAAAAAAUUAAAAUCGGUGGUUGCAUACUCCUUCAAUCAUGGGCAUGGUACCGGCUGUAACACCCCGUUUUCAGUGAAGUCAGAACAAUGGUUUCGGGACCACAAAUCUGAGGUCGAAAGAAAAUUUAUUUUAAUAUUAUUUUAUAGUCUAUGGUACGAUAGGAAUGUCGUAAGAAAAUUUCGUUAAGAAAUUUUACCGAUUAUACAUCUAAUUUGUUAAAAAGGACUAGAUUGAAAAAUGUGCAACUAAUAAUAGUGGUUAAGUGAUUAAAUAACUUAACCAAUAAAUAAGGAGGGACUUAAGGCAUAAAUAUGCCAAAAGAAAAUGGAUGAGGCGGCAUAAGCAUUAAAAAGAUGAUAAAAUGGUGUGAACUAAGGGCAAAAUUAGAAAUUUUGCCAAAUUUAAUGAAACAAAUGAAAAAUUAAAGAAUUCUAGACAUUUCAUCAUCAUUUUCUGUUCUAAAAAUAGACAUUGAAUAUGGUUUAAGCUGGUUUUUCAAUUUUUUCUUUAUGUAAGUCAAAUCCUUAUCCGUUUCUUGAAAUUUUUAUGUUUUUGUGAUUGUUGCAAUUAGGUCCAAUUAACCUUUACCUUGGUUUUUGAUUUUAUUGAAAAUCUUGGAAGUUACCAUUGAUGAUUUCAUAUGAUUUUAGUUAUUAGAUGAUGAAUUUGAGGUGUUGAUGGGUAUUUAAAAGUGUUUUAUUAAAGAAUUUUGAUGAAAUCAUGAUUUAGGGAUUAAAUUGAAAAAUGUUGAAUUCAUGGAAAAUUCUAAAUUUUAUGGAAUUCAUGGAUUUCUAUUAUUAUGUAUGAAAAUUUCUAGGCUUGGAAUGAAGAUUAAAUUUCAUGAAUUUCAUUUUCCGAGCCUAGGGAUGAAAUCGGAAUUAAUUAAAAGUAUAGGGGCAAAAUGGUACUUUUGCCUAAGAUGUGAGCUUGAUUGAAUUGAAUAUGAAAUGUAUUAAAUUGAUGUUAAAUUCAUUUAUAUAGAUCCGAAAAUAUCAAAUAAGGAGUUAGAUUGAGGAAAAUAAAAAGUGUCGGAUUAGUAGAUUUUUGUAUACGAGCAAGUGUCUAUGUAAGUUCGUGUAACUAAAUUGUGUAUAUUUAUAUGUUUGAAUUGAAUGUUGUAUAUGUGAAUUAUAUGAAUGUCAUAUAUAUAUGAAAUUGAUCACAUAUCCGACAAUGCUCGAUAAAUAUUAAGUCUUGUUUGGAUAAAUGUGAUUCGAUGGAUACAGGGUUCCAAGAUUCCCGUAUUGGUUGUGGUCUUGCAUAUGUUGCGGACACACCACAGCUCGAAAGAGCCUUCUGUUAUUAGCCCUCUCGAGUUUCCCAUUAUAUAGUUCCUGCGAGCUUCCCAUUAAUAACUCUUCGGAGCAUCUCAAUCGGUUGUAAUUCUGCAUGUGUUGUAGACACACCACAGCUCUUAUGAGUGUCCUGAUAUACGGCUCUUCGUGAGCUUCCUGAUUAAAGGCUCUUUAUGAGCUUCUUGAGUAAUGGAUCUCUGGAACUUCCCGAUAUGGCUCGCUUGAACUUCCCGAUAUAUGGCUAUUUGGAGCUUUCUGAUUAAUGGCUCUUCGGAGCUACCUGUUAUUGGCUCGCAUGAACUUCCUAAAUACGGCUCUUAUGAGCUUCUCGUUAUACAGCCCAAAUAAGCUUCCCAUUACAUGACUCAUAUGAGCUUCCUGUUAUAUGGCUCGAGAGAGAGCUUCCUGUUUAUGUGCUCGUAUGAGCAUUCCCGAAUAUGAAUUGACGAAGUAUAGAUUUGUACACUUUAUGUGUACUACCCGGGUAUCCAUCGAUAUUUUAAAUAAUGCAACAGGUAAAACCUUAGUACAAGAAUAUAAAUGAAUUCAAAGUGAAUUGUUACUUGUAUAUACAUGAAAUACAUGGAAAUUUGGUAUUGAUGAGCUCAUACAUGAUUCUUGAAAUUCAUGUGAAGUAAAUGACUAACAUGUUUGAUGAAGUUGUGAGUUUUAGGCUAUUAGCCAAAUUGCUUGGAUGCAUUUUAUAUGUUUAUUUUAAUGAAAAUAAAUGGUAAGUUAAUUUCCCGUUAUACGAACUUACUAAGCAUUAAAUGCUUACUUUGUUUUAUUUCUUCUAUUUUAUAGUAUUCGAAAGCUUGUAAAGGUUGGAAGCGGGUUGGAGCAACAUCACACUAUCCUUCAGCUCGUUUUGGUAUAAAUAGCAAAAUUUCUUUUGGGUAUCAUGGCAUGUAUAGGUUAAAUUGGCCAAAUGAUGGCAUAUAAAUAUUUGGUUGAAACUAGCCAUUUGUAUGACCUAAACCUGUUUGAUGUGUGUGUUUAAAAUGGUUAAAUGGUGAAAAGUAUAUAGACCUAUUGAUGAUUGGUUUGAGAUACCAUAAUUGGUAAAAUAUGCCUAUAUGCACAUAUGUGUAUUUGGUAAGUUUGAACACUUGAACAUAUGUGAUAAUAUGUCAUGCAUAAGACUUAGUUUUGGAUUUGUUUUAAUGUCUUGAAUUGGUUGGUGAAUGUAUUAAAGUGUUAAUGUAGGUGAAAGAUAAAUUGGGUGAGAAAUGUGGCCUUGGAAAUGACUUAUUUUCGUCCACACGGGUAAAGACCUAGGCGUGUGUCUCAGCCGUGUGUCACACACGGCCUAGCACAUGGGCGUGUGAUCUAGCCGUGUGUCUCCUGCAUCCUUAAAAUUGAGAAACAGAAUGCCCAAGUAUUUUCACACGGCCUAGCACACAAGCAUGUGGCUUAGCCGUGUGACCCUUGCACCUAAUUAAUGCAAAAUAAAUUGUUCAUACGGCCUAGCACACUGGCGUAUGGCUUGGCCGUGUGACCCAAGUCAGUAAGCACCCUAAAUUGGACUUGGGCUGGGACACGGCCGUAUGCCCCACUUCGAAUGCCCACACGGCCUAAGACACGGGCAUGUGUCCCCUGCACAUAGGAAAAGUUUUGAAAUUUUACGAAAAAUUCUCUAAGUUCCCGAAUUAGUCUCGACUUGUUUCUAAUGCAUAUUUUGGGCCUCGAGGGCCCAUAUAAGGGAUAUUAUGAUUGAUUUCUAAUAUGAAUAGUAAAGGAUAUGAAUUAACUGUAUUUGAUCUAUAAACUCUGGUAAUGCUCUAUAACCCUAUUCCGAUGAUGGAUAUCGGUUAGGAGUGUUACACUGACUUUCAUUUUUACGUCCCGAGUAAAUGCCCAUUAUGAAUUUCCACUCGUAAGAAGGAAAAAUUCAUUUAAUAAUAUAGUUAUUAUAAUAUUUUUUUCAUUAUUAUAUCUUUUAAAUAACAUGUUAUUUGAAUAGGUGGAACAAUGACGCUUGUCAUGUGGAUAUACCAGACUAGUUCGAAGAUAUCCGACUAAAGUUAGAUCAAUGAUUGGAAGCCAAUGUUAGUUUUUGAAAUUUUCAAUUAUAUAAUAUUUAUGUAAGGAUUUGAAAUUUAAUAUUAGAUACAUAAUAAAAUUUAUAAUUUCAUAUUGUAGUUUGAAUAGAAGUCACACUCUUAUCUGAGAAUUCAAGAAUGCAUCCCAGACGAAUUUUUUGGUGAAUCGCAAUAUCUGGCACGUUAAAGUGCCAUUGAUAGUUUUUGCAACGAUCGAGAUGAACGAAUCCGAUCAAGUGAUGCGUCAAUUCAGGUUUAGGCAAAGUAUUUUGUCGUCAUCUAGGAGCUCAAUGAACUUCACAAGAUCGACUUACGAGGGAGAACCGAUGAAGAUUGGCCUAAAUUCCAUGCCAAAUAUAUCUACAUUUAGGAACAUAGGUAUGAUUUCAUACCUAUAUGUGAACCAAUUUUCCCACUGGAUUUGGUAACCUCUCCGGAUUACAUAAUAUGGUUUAAACUUUAUGGUAAGUCAUAUCUAGUGCCAGAAGAGAGAAGGAGUAGGCAAUGUCGUCGUAGGAGGCCAAUACAACCCCACAUGAGGUCGUGGUUGGGAGUGCAUGCCUCGAUGGAAUCAUCAUCAGCUCCAAUUGUAACGACUUGAAAGUUAGCGGUGUCGAAAAAUAAAGUUUUGGGAACUCAUUUCUGUAAAUCAAGCCCGUAAAUAUUUUUUAUAUUUACAAAGUUAUUAUAUAUGUUAAUUGAAUUUUGGAUAAGUAAUUCAGUUAAAAUUGCGUUUAAUUAGGGCUCAAGGACUAGAUCAUAAAGUCCAACCACUAUAAAUUUUUAAUUAGAAAAUGAAAUGAGGAUUUAAAUUGCAAUUAACAAAAGCUCUAAAAUGGUAAUUAGACCCUGUUAAAUUAUGCAUUAAUGGAUAAUAGUGUUUAAAACUAAUUAAAUAAACAAAUUUUAAAUUAAUUAUAAUAAACCUUAAUUAAAUUAAACUUAAACCAUGUAUAUAAGCCAAAUUAAAAGAGAAAGUCAUCAUCUUUCUCCCAACUACAAACCGAAACAAAGAAAGAAAUAAAGAAGAAGAAGCAAUUAAUGUCAGGGUUAAGCUUUUAACUCCAAAAAUUCAAGUAAGACCUUAAUUAUUUUCUUGUAAUUUUUAUGUUUUUGUGAUCAUGAAAGCUUGAAUUAGCUAGCCCAUGUACAAAUUUGUAAAACUGUUAAAGUUUUGAAAGUUGCCCUAGUUAAUAAUUGAAAGUUUUAGGUGUUAAAUUGAUAGGUUUUUUAAUUUAAAAGUGAAAAAGGACUAAAUUAUAAAAUAAAUUGAUAGUUGCUUACCUAAACUGAAUAAAUUGUAAAAUUUACUAUAGAAAUUAGAAAAUGAAAGCCCCAAAUGGUUAAUAGUGAAAACCGAUUUCUAUUUGGAGCUUUAGAUUGAAAGUUAUGUUAGUCCCGAUUUUAGGGACUAGAAUGAAUCAAUUGCAAAGUUUGUAUAAUUUGAUAAUUGAAUUCGAAUUGGUUGAUUAUUGAUAAUGUUGUAUGUUAUGUUAACCUAUAGCUAAUGUUGACCCGAAUUCCUCGAAAGGGAAAGGAAAAGCUAAAGCCGUUGACGAAUAGCUCAGAAUUUUCGAUUUGUAAUUCUAUGAUUUGGGAACCAUUUAAUUGUUGCAUGUACAUAUCAUUUUGCAUUACAUGGAACUAGAGGUGAUUGUUUAUGGCCUAUUAAGUUGAAUUUAUGUGAAUUGGAUUGAUUCCGAACUAGGAACUGAAUCGAAUAAAUUAGAAAAUUUUAUGUCUUGUUUGAAAUAUGCAAUUGGUAUGAAAUUCAAUUGGAACAUGUAAUAAUAUGUGUGAAUUGAUAAUUUGAUGAUGAACUUAGCAUGAUAAUGUAACAACUCAUUUUUUAGUGGUACCGAAAACGGUGAUUUUGGAACCCCGUAUUAUGAUGAUCGAUUCAGUAAAUAUCAUUUAUUAAUAUUUGCGAGUCUAUUAUAGUGAUAUAUUGAGUUUUGGUUCGGAAAUUUUAUUUAACGGUUAGUAAUUAGGGUACAAUGACUAAAUCGUAAAAAUCGUAAAAAUCGUUGUUGAAUUUUUGUUGGUUAAAAGGCUUAGUUAAUAAUUAGUCAAGUGCCUAUGUGAUCAUUAGACCAUUUUGUUAGGUAAUGGAUGGUUGGUGCAUUGUUAAAAGUAAAAAUAUAUGUUUAAUUAAAUUAAUAAUUAAGUGAAAAGUCGAUAAAACAUAAAAUAAAGGUUAUCUUCCUCAUUUGUACUUCUUCUCGCCAUCAAAUUAAAGAAAAAGAAAUGGAGAGCAACCAUUUUUGAAUGCUUAACAAUUGGUCUUGCAUGGUAAGCUCUCCAAAGCCCAUUUGUCGUAAAUUUUAUGUUUUUGAGAUCGUUGUAGCUUAAUUUAACUAAAUCGUAAAACUGUUAAAAGUUUUAAAAGUUAAAAUUAAUUAUUUAUGGAAGUUCUUGAUGUUUAAUGGUAGAUUUUUAAGCUUAGAAGUGGUUAAGGACUAAUUUGUAAAGUGAUUUUUGUUAAAUUUGAGUUUAGGGACUAAAAGGUUAUAGUGAUGAAUUUGACAUAAAUUUUUCAUGAAAUAUGUUUCUAUAGAGUUAUAAAGGGAUGAAAAUUAAAGUAAAGUUAAAAACGAAGAUUAAAUAUGAAAGUUAUAGUGGUUUCGGCUUUAGGGACUAAAUUGAAUAAAAUGUAAAAGUUCAGGGAAAUUUGGUAAAAUAAAAUUAAAAGGUCCAACUUGAAUAAAACUUGGUUUAGAGGGACCAAACCAGACUUCGCUAGUUUACACGGAUGGCGUGAUAGCAAUAUCAUGUAUAUAGAGGGGUACACUUAGAGGCUACGCCUUAGGGUUCGAAUAAGUGUAAUUAUAUCAAAAUUUAAGGUCCAAGUAAUAGUAAAUAUAUAUAGGCAUGCUCAGUAAAAUAAUUUGAUUGUAAGAACUUUAAUCUAAGAACCUUAAAACUUGUAUACUAGAAACUUUAGUUGAAGUUUAAUUUUUGAAACAUGUUUUUAUCUAAGAGAUUAGACUAAAGUUAUACAAUAAAUAGGGAUUAAAUUUGCCAUUGUUUAAGUUGUAAAUAAGUCAAGUCAGAAAUGUUGUUAAGUACUAUGGUUUAAUUGUGACAUUUGAUAUCCGGACCCGAUGAUCGGGUCAAGUAUAGGGUGUUACAACAUAUAACUCUAGUAUAGCAUUUCCAUUAAAGUAAUGCGAAUCGAGCUUCGCCUCGAUCUCAACGUCUCCUUUGAGCUCAAAUAUAUCAUAUCUAAUAGGUUUCAGUGACGUUAGAUAUCUAUAUUUAAAGCUCGAAAUUCUUCUUCAACUUGAAGUCGCCACUUUCCUUCUAAUUUUUUAAUGAAGCUCAUGCAAUUUUAUGCUCUAAUUAAAAGUCAAUUCUAUAGAUUGGGUUGAACAAAAAUGACCCCAAUUUUGAUGCCAAAUUUGAUCGUUGUAAUAAAUAACGGCUCUAAUUCGUCUACUCAUCUUCAACCAAAUAACUUGUUUCACAUGUUUAAAACCAAAACAUAUAUAGAAAAAUGAGUACAACUAUCCAAAUUCAAACAACAACACUUACUUGAGCUAAUUUACUUUGCUGGGUCGAUGUUUGAAAUUCAAUUUUUUAACACAAUCUUUUCCUUAUGUAAAUCUCUUUAUAAAAACAAUUUGCUCGAAAUUUUAGUAUGAAACCGCUAUACAGAAUAUAUUCAUUUUAUAGGAAAUACUACCAUCGAAUAUCAAACAUAACUUUAAAGUGUUAGAAAAGGUUGGACAUGUCAAGUCUAAAAAUGCUUCUAACAAGAAGCUUUUUCUUAAAAAGUCUGAAUAGUUUUUAAAAAACUCUUCUUAUUGGAAGCAUUUUUCAAAAAAAAAAUUAGGGUUUUUGGUUUAGGGGCGUUGAAAAUGUGAGGAAAAAACACCUUCUGCAAGGCGCGCUUUCAGCGUCCCUACUAGCACCUCAGCUAAAAACGCCUCCUGCAAAAUGCAUUUUCUUCCCACAGAUUUUUAAAUCCUAACCCUAAAAAGGAAUCAUGUGAAAAAAAUUUAGAACCCAAGAAUCCUGAGAUAAUUUUCAAACAUCCCAUCUUGGGAAUAUUGAUCAGUUGUGGGGUCCCACAUAAUUUGUUUUUUUAAGGAGGUUUUGCUCCCCCUACUCCAUCAGCUCUCUCGCCUACUGUCCCUUAGAAAAAAAAUAUUAUUAUUUUUUUGUGUUGGGUGUUGUAAAUUUUUAGGAGAAAGAUUAAUUUGUGUUUGUGUUUGAGGGAAACAUUAUGCUAGUUUUAAGGUAUGUUUGAGUUCAUAGUGAUGCAACGGUGUUUGGAGACCCACAUAUUUCCUCUACCGUGUGAGGAUGGAAUCAUCACCUUAGAAUAUGUCGAAUUGCAAGUUGGGCUUCCAAUUCACGGUAGUUAUAUAGUCAUGGGUUGAAGUAUAACCAGGGCUCCCAAUUGACUGUGGUUAUGUGGUCAGUUCACGAUGGUUAUAUGGUCACGGGUUGAAGUAUAACUAGGGCUCUUAGUUGACAAUGGUUAUGCGAUCACGAGUUCAAGUAUAACUUGGGCCCCAAGUUGGCGGUGAUUAUACGGUCACGGGUUCAAGUUUCAUGCCAUUAGAAGAUGAUGCUUUAUAAACCCUAUACAUAUGUAAUGACUUAAAUUCAAGGUUAUCGAAAUAGUGGUUUCAUAACCACAAAUCCGAUUUAAAGAGAAUUUUAUUUUAAUUUUUUUGCAUGAAUAUUGAUAUGAUAGGAAAAUCGUAUGAAAAUAUCGAUAGAAAAAUUUUACCGAUUUAGUGGUUAGUUAGAAAAAGAAAUUAUUGGAGAAAUUGGGUAAAAACAAGGUAUCGAGACCUUAAUCUCAUAAAACUGAGUCAGAAAUAUUUUUAUAAAUAUUUAUGAAAUGUUAGUAAUGUGGUAUUAAAAUUUUGUUAGAAAAUUUUAAUGUUUGGGUAGUCAAUUAAAUGAAAAUGACUAAAUUGGAAAAAGGUGUAAAAGUAGCUGAGAUGAUUAAAUAGUUUAAGUGUCUAAUGAGAAAGGAUUUAAAAGGCAAUUAGACCCAAAAUUUAUUUAGGUUGGAUGGCAAGGACAUGAAAUCAGCAAGAAGAUGGAUGAUUUAAGGGCAAAAUUAGAAUAUUGCAUAAUUAACUAAAUAAAAUUAGGACUAAUGUAGAAAUAUCUAGAUUUCUUUUGAUUUCUUUCCAUUCUCAUCAGCCAAAACACCAUAGGAGGGGUUCUUUAAGCUGGUAUUUCAUAAAUUUUGCACCAAGUGAGUUAAUCCUUACCUUUUUCUUAUAAUUUUUGUGUUUUUAAGACUUUUACAACUAGGUUCUACUAUUACAUUCAUUAGUUUUUGAUUUCAUGGAUGAAAUUGAAAGUGACCAUGGUUGAGUGCUAUAAUUUUAUGAUGAAAUAGCAUGAAAUUGAAGCUUUAAUUUGUUUAUAAGAUGAUUUUAUUAGGUAAUUUCAAUAGAAAUUGAUUUUUAGGACCUAAUUGUGAAAAAAUUGGAAUUAAAGUCUAGUGCUGAAAUUCUAAUUCCCAAAGGUUAUAAAGUAGUUUAAAGUGAUAGAAUAAAGUGUUAAUUGAGAAAAAUCAGCUCAAUUGAGAGGUUAAUUGAGCAGGGACGAAAUUAUCAUUUAUUAAAAGCUUAGGGGAAAAUGGUAGUAAACAUCUUGCACUAAAACAGUUUUGGACAGCAACAGUAGGCUAAUUUUGAAAAAUCAUCAUAAAUUGUAGAAAUUGAAUUAGAGAAUGAAUAAAAUAUAGAAUUAAAGAUUAUUGAGUCUAGUUUCUUAUAGAAGAAAUGGUGUAAGUAAUGGAAUUGUAAAUCAUGAGAUAUAAUAAAUUUUAUGAGAUAAGGCAGAAUGAAUUCGGGUUCCCCUGUUCUGACUUUGGAAAAUCAUUAAAAAUUGGAGAAAAAUAAUUAGGGGUUAAAAUUUACAUGUUUAAAUUAUUAAUGAGUCCAUUUUCAAUAUAAACAAACGGAAACAUCAUCCAAAUUUUUUACUAAGAGAUGAAUUAAUUUUUAGCAAAGAAAGGUCGAAGCUGUCAGACAGCAGAACAGGGGUAAGAUUGAAGAUUUUACUGUACUUAUUGGUUGGACCAAAAAUUUUGGAAAUUUUAUGGUAAAAAGGUAUUCGAGUCUAGUUUCGAAACACUAAGCAGUUUUUAAUUUGAAAUUCUGUAGCUUGAGAUGUAAAUAAUUUAGUGACUACGACUCAAGUAGACAACUUUGUGUGAACUAUAAAUAAUAAUGGAAUUAUAGAGAAUGUUACAUAUGAGCAUGAAAUGUAUUAAAUUGAUUAUUAAAUUUAUUUAUUUAGAUCCAGAAAAUUCAAAUACGAAGCUAGAUUGAGGAAAGGAAAAAGUUUGGGAUUAGUAUAUUUUUGUAUACGAACAAGUAUCGAUGUAAGUUUGUGUAACCUGAAUUAUAUUUUUAAAUGCUUGAAAUGUAUGUUAUUGAUGUGAAUAUGAUUUAAAUGUUCAUUGUAUAAAAAUUGAUGAGACAUUGAUAUAUUUGAUAAAAAGGGAAUAAAUCCCUGUUGAAUGAAAGGAAAAUUCGAUGGAUCUUUAAAAAGGAAUUAAUGGUAAAAAAAAAUCUAGCAUGGACGGGUGAUCCUAUUCUGAUAUAGCCCUCCCGAAGAAUAUGUGUAAAAUUGAUUUAGCCCGGAUGGGUAAUCCGAAUUAGGGUCUAAAUUUAGUCUGGACUGAGAAUUCAGAUCCAAGCUCAUUAGAGUAAAUUGUCGUUGCAGGGGAUUUAGCCUGGACUGGUAAUCCCGCUGUAAGGAUGAGGUUCGCGGGAGUGUGCUCUCUGAAAUGGAAAUGUGUGCACAUGAAUAUGAAUUGACGGACCCGGAAUAGAUGAGGUUUACAGGAGUGUGCUUUCUGAAAUGAAAAUGUGCGCACAUGAAUAUGAAUUGACGGACCCGGAAUAGUACGCUAAAAGUGUACCUCUAAAAAUCCAUCGAAAUUCUGAGAAAUUCAACGGGAUAAAUAUGGGAAAUAAUGAGGGUAAUAGAAAACAUGGAAUUGAUGAGCUCAUCAAUCAUUAAUCUUUGUAUUGCACUCAUUUGAUGUUAUUUGAUUAAUGUUUUGGUUGAGUUUUUGUGUGAUAGGUAAAUGGUAAAUUGAAUGGAUGUAUGAAUAUUUAUUGUAUUGUAUUGAAAAUAUUAAGUAAGUAUAGUUCUUGUUACAUGAGCUUACUAAGCACAACAUGCUUACCCUGUUUCAUUUUUCCCUGAUUUGUAGUAUUAAGAGCUCGGAAGUCGGGUUCGGUCAGAGACACAUCACACUAUCAACUUCAACAUUUUUGUAUAUCAAGAAACUUUAUUUUGGAAUCAAUGGCAUGUAUAGGUUGAUAAAGUAAAUGUUAAUGUGAAAUGAAUGUAAAGUUAGCCAUUGGUAUGGCUAUGAAAUCCUGGUUUUGGUAUGUGAUGAGGUUAUCUUAUGGAUAUGCGUAAAUCUAUCUUGAAAAUAUGUUGAUUUGGAUUGAUUGAUUUGGUUUGAUAUCGAUGUAUGUUUUGGGCUUCGGAGGCCACGUCAUAAUAUGUUUCAAUAAAGAAUAGUAUUUAACUCGUAAUAACCAAAAAAAUUAAUUCGAAAAACUCUGGUAAUGCCUCGUACCCUAUUCCGACUACGAAUAUAGGUAGGAGGUGUUACAACAUAAGUUUGAGAUUAUAAUCAUAGGAGAAAACAAAUGGGCUUUUCAGUAUAAUUAACUUAUUAUUUUUCUCCAUAUCUAUCAAAGUGAUAUCCUUAACCUCAUUGUUUAUAACCUGUGAUAGAUUUGGGGACAAGAAGGCUUUAGGGGGAGGAAGAGUGACUGUGACAGUGGAGAAAAGCUUAAAAUAGACUCAGGGUGACAACGAUUACUGUGAUUCAAGAACUCCUCCCCCUUUUUCCCCUUAUGAUUAUUAUCUCAAACUUAUGUAUGAGGUUUAUAAAGCAUCAUCUUCUUGUGGCAUGAAACUUGAACCCGUGAUCACAUAACCACCGUCAACAAGAGGCCCGAGUUAUACUUGAAUCUGUGACUGCAUAACCAUCGCAAACUAGGAGCCCUAAUUAUACUUCAACCCGUGACCGUAUAACCAUCGUGAACUGGGAGCCCGAGUUGUAAUGCGACAUCUUCUAAGGUGAUUGUUUCACCCCCAUAUGAUAGAUGAAAUAUGUGGCUGUCCAAGCACCAUUGCAUCACCGUGAACCCAAACAUACCUUGAAACUAGCAUAAUGUCUCCCUCAAACACAAACACAAAUAAAUUUUUCUCCCCAAAUUUCCAACACUCAAAAAAAAUUUUGGAAGGAAGAAAACUCAUCCUGCAGGACGCGUUUUCUGUUUCUCUCUUAAAGAUCGGCCCAUUUCCCUAAUUAAUUUUAGAAAACGUCACUCCUAUCUAAUUGACCCUCAUAUGAAAAUAUAAUAAAAUAAGUUAUAGUAAUUCGUUGUUAAUAUUAUAAGAAAUGUAAAUUUAAAAUAUUUUUAAACAAUUAAUUGUAAAUCUUAAUUUAAAUAUAAACUCUCCUCUAAAAGAGUUAUAUUUUUGGCUAACAGGCAGCUAACCUAUAUUUCUUUGGAUAAAUUAAUCCCAAAUAAAGUUAGUGAUCCAACCCAACAAGUCUUAGCUGGGCCCAAAUUAAAGUUCAUUAGAAAGGAGCCGAAUUCCUCACAAUCAUUCACUCAUUGUUUCUUCCAUUUUCAUAUUUUCACUAAUAAAAAUCCAAUUCCUAAUUCCUACAUAUCUCCUCUAAUAUUAAACACUCUACUUAAUUUGGUCAUAUCACGGGUGAAGUAGUAAAAAAAUAGAAAUAAAAAUACACAGAACUCAAACAUCUAUCAUUUCUAACAUUCAAUCAAAACCUUAUUUUAUUAAUUAUAUCAAUAAAUAUAUUUAUUAUAUAAUUUUAUUUUCACCCUAGUAUUAAUAAAUUCAUUCAUUCACUUAAAAGAGGGGGCUUAGUUCAAGAAAUAUUAUGUUUAAGAAUUAUUUCCCCUAUUUGGAUGAAAAAUAUUACUUUUAAGUCGACAAUAUGGUAUUACCAAUAAUGUCAAACUGUCAACAUUUGAGAAUAUAAAUAAUUUAUUUUUUAUGUAAUGUAAUAAUAUGAAAUUUUUGACAAUUUUAAUUUCAUUAAACCAAAACCAAAAUGAAAUAAUAAAUACUAAUGGAUCAAACUCUCUAAUUCUUUUAUAUAUUCUCUCAAGUAACAUUUCCAUUAUAUUCAUUCAUUUAUUUAAUGAGUAAAUUUAACAUUUAUCUAUUAAAUUAUUUCAAUUUUUAAUUAUUUUAAAUGAUUUUUUCCUAUUAUUAAUUAUUUUUUGAGGAAAAAAAUCACAAAUAUUCUAUUAUUAGUUAUUAAUUAGUUAAAAUAAUUAACAUUUGUAUAUUAUUAUUGUGUUGGUUUGUUUCUAUAACUUCAUAAUUAAGUUUUAUUGUAAGUAUAGUCAGAAUAACAAAUAUUAAGUACAUACAAAAUUCUAUAUCAAACUUCUGCUUCUCUAGCACGGCUCUUUCUACUGUUCUAGCACAUCUAGGGUUUUUUUGUUUUGUUUUCAUCUGUGUUCUUUCUUUCUUCGUGAUGGCGGUGAUGUUAUUGGCUACGGAUUACGGUAUAUCUAUUUGGGGGUUGGAUAUCUAUUAUGGAAAAUGAGAUGGCAGACUUGUCUUUGGAUGAUAGGGAGGAGGAAGGUUUGUUGGUAUAGAAGGAGACUGGUCCACACUCGAUGGUGACGGAGUUUAGCAUGGUUGAAUGGUUCUUAACGGCGAGUAUAGUUCAUUUUCCAGCAAUGAAGAGUACCAUGGAAAAUGUUUGGCACCCAAUUAGAGGAGUUCAGAUCUCGGAUCUAAGGGACAAAAGAUUUUUAUUUAAGUUUUUCUAUAGGAUGGAUUUGGAGCGGGUUAUUAAUGGUGUACAUUGGACUUUUAAUAACCACCUUAUGGUGUUUCAUAGGUUGGAGAAGGGGGAGGAUCCGGUGAAUGUUCCAUUAUUGUUUGUUAACUUUUGGGUUCAAGUUCACGACUUACCUAUGGGUUUGUUCUCGAAAACUAUUGCGCGACAAUUGAGAGAGUUUUUGGGAAAAUUUUUGGAAUAUGAUUCGAAGAGUCUAAUUCGGGGAGUGAGAACUUUUUUUAGAAUCAGGGUUCAGUUAGAUGUAAGGAGACCUUGGAAAAGAAGAAAAAAAGAUUGUAUUUGCAUAUGGAAACCAUACUUACGUUAGUUUUAAAUACGAGAAGUUGACGCUACUUUGUUUCUAUUGCGGGCAUUUGGGUUAUGGUGUCUCUUUUUGUCAUAUUAGAAUGUGGAGAGAGGAGGAGUCUAUUAAGUUGGGUUGGGAUCUGUCGCUUCAAGCACAAUCGAGAAGAGCUACCGCAAGGCUUAGUGUAUGGCUGGUAGAAAGUAGGGAUGAAGGGGGGCUUGGUAGUAUCGUUGAGCAACGAGGUUUGGGGCAACUACAGACUGCUAGAUGUUUCAAGAAUAAUUUGAGACAAGUUCAGCCCCAACUUUUGUUUCUAAUUGAAAUAAAAGUCAGCGCAAGACGAAUGAGUAGAUAAAGAUGAAAUACAGAUUUCUGAAUGGUAUAGAUGUGGAUGUUAUAGGGUCAAUGGAGGAUUACCUUUAGGGUGGGUGGAGAGUUUGACUAUUACUUUAAGAACAUUUUCAAGAUCUCAUAUUGAUGUGGAAGUGUAGGAGGGAGAUGGAGGGGUAGCGUGGAGGUUCACGGGUUUCUAUGGCGCCCUAGUAGAACAAAUAAGGAAGGAUUCGUGGAAUUUACUGCGACAUUUGAAACAAGAGAGUAACUUGUCAUGGUUGGUCUUGGGGGAUUUCAACGAGGUUUGUUAUUCUUUUGAAAAACAUGGAGGACGCCAUAGGGAGGAGCGAAGAAUGAUUGCAUUUAGGGAGGUGUUGGAUGAAUGUGAACUAAGUGAUUUAGGCUUCUCUAGUCAGUGGUUCACAAGGGAGAGAGGACGAUUUCUGGAAAAUAACAUAAGGGAGUGGUUGGAUAGGGGGUAGCUGACCCUAGAUCGUGGGAUAUUUUUUUAAAUUUUUUGGUAAACCAUCUUUAGCAUAGUUUCUCAGUUCACUUCCCGAUGUUUGUUAAUACAUGAAUUGAUAGGAGGGUUUGGGCUGGGCUUUGGGAUUCUUGGUUUCGUUUUAAUGCCAAUUGGAUUUUGGAGGAGGGGUUCGGGAAUCAUCUUAAAAGGUGGUGGGCAACGAAUGAUAAGAGAUUUCGACAAAGCUUGGGGAGUUAGGAGUGGAAUUGAGCAAUUGGGCUAAAAAAGCGAGAGUUAAUAGGUAUCAUAGGAGAAUGGGUUUGAGUGCAAGGCUUAAUGAGCUAAAUGGUGAAGAUCCUAGUGAUGUGGUACUGGCUAAAAUUACUAAUGUGAAGUUAACUAUGAACAUGAAAGCCGAUAUGGAGGAGUUAUUUUGAGAGAAAAUAGCUAGUGUGAAUUGGAUUCAAUUAGGUGAUCGAAACACAUCAUUUUUUCAUAAUUUUACUUCAAACUAGAAGAAAAAGAAUACGGUUAAAGGGCUGGAAAACGGGAGUGGGAGCUGGACAAGCAAACAAGAAGAGAUGGCUAGCUAGCAACAUAAUAUUUUAAAGAUUUAUUUUCUUCAAAGCCAGUGAAAGAUUGUGAUCGCUUACUUUUGGAAAUUCCAACGUGUGCCUCGAGGUCUCAAAAUGAGGAGUCAGUUGCUGAGUUUAGAAGGGAGGAGGUGAUUGAGACGAUUAGAGCCAUGGAUCCUUUGAAAGCAUCAGGAAAAGAUGGCUUCCCUGCGUUAUUUUAUCAGAAGUUUUGACAUGUGGUAGGGGAUGAGGUCGAGAAAUUUUGUUUGGAAGUGAUGAAUGGUCAAUGUGAUGUCGAGGGGAUCAAUGGCAUGAACAUCAUAUUUAUCCCAAAGAUUGUAUCGCCGAAGAACAUGGGUUAGUUUAGGCCCAUCAGUUCGUGUAAUUUUAUUUAUAAGGUGAUUUUAAAUGUGAUUGUGAAUAGAUUUCGUAAGGUCCUUAAUGGUUAGAUCGAUGAAACUUAAAGGGCAUUUGUGUUUAGUAGACAAAUCACUGAUAACAUAUUUGUGGCUUACGAGAUUCUACACUAUUUUAGGAAGAAGAUGGGUCGACUAGCUUUUUUUCUCUGAAGUUGGAUAUUAGCAAAGCAUAUGAUAGAGUUGAAUAGAACUUUUUGGAAAGAGUGAUGGGUUCUUUAGAAUUCUAUGAAGCUUGGAUCUCACUUGUUGUAAGGUGUCUCUGGUGUACCGUAUUCUAUUAUUUUGAAUAGAGUGUAAAUGGAGUAAUUCUGACCUUUUAGAGGCUUAAGGUAGGGGAAUCAUCUUCACCCUUAUUUGUUUAUAAUUUUAGCCAAAGGAUUUUCAAGGUUAUUGCAUAUGUUGAGAGACAAAGGAAGGCUCCAUGAGGUGAGGAUAGGUUAAAGUGAAUUAACUAUUACCCACCUACUUUUUGUUGAUGAUAGCAUUUUGUUUAAUGAAGCCUCAAUCGAAGAGCCAAAGACCAUGAAAUUGGUGGUGACUGAGUAUAAGAGUGUAUCGGGUCAAUUAGUCAACUUCAAUAAGUUCGUUAUAUUUUUUAGUGGUAAUGUGGAUAAUACGGUGAGGGAGCAAAUAGAUAAAAUUUUGGGAGUAUGAAUCUCAAACAAUCCGAAAAGGUAUCUAGGAUUGCCAACGAUAGUGGGUAGAAGGAAAAAACAUGCUUUUGUAGAUAUGAAAGAGAAAUUUAUAAGGAAAAUAAAGAGUUAGAGCGUGCAUUAUUUAUCGAUGGGGGGAAAGAAGUGUUCAUUAAGGCCAUUUUGCAAGCCAUCCCGAUUUAUGCUAUGUAAUGUUUCAUAUUUCCUGUUACUUUGUGCUGUAAUUUAGAGAAUAUGAUGUGUAAAUUUUUGUGGUGAAAUUUGAAAUCUGGUAAGGGUAUACAUUGGUGCAGAUGGAUUGCUUUGUGCACUCUGAAAGCAUAGGGUAGGUUGGGUUUUAGAAAUCUUAAUCUGUUUAAUAUGGCCCUGCUAGCGAAGUAGGGUAGAAGCUAAUUACGCAACCUUGUCGUUUAUUUUCACGUGUAUUGAAAGCUAAGUAUUUCCCUCGGGAGGAUUUUAUGAGUGCACGAUUGGGACCCUUUGUAUACCUAGUGGAGUAUUUGGGAAGCACGUAGACUUAUUGAGGCAGGGAUAGGCUCGAAAAUUGGGAAUCGGUUGGCCUUGAACAUCUGGAAUGAUGUGUGGUUUACAGGUCUUGGGAAUGAUAUUCUUCAAUUUCAAAACAUCGAUAUUAGGUACACUACUGUAUCAGAUUUAAUUAAUGAGGACACAUUUACUUGGAAAUAGGAUAUUAUUCUUAAGGAUCUGUUUGGUGAUGACCAGUUGUAGAAAAUCCUUUUGAUCCCACUAGUGAAAAACAUACAUAGAGAUGAGGUGGUUUGGAGGGGGAUGAAGUAGGGGAAUACAUAACAAGAAUCGGUUACAGAUGGCUCAUUAUAGAAGGGCGUGACAUACUGGGGGUUAAUUACAUAGAAAAAACAGUGAAUCUAUCUAACUUUUAUACAAGACUAUGGAGUCUAAGCAUUCCUAAUAAAAUCCGUAUAGAUUUCUGGAAAGUAUCUAAUGAUUUUUUGCUGGCGUUGGGGGUGCUGAAGUCCUAUAAGCUUGUUGCGAAUUCACUUUAUCCGGUUCGUGAAGUAGAGGAGGAGUUGGUGGCCCAUUUAUUUUGUGACUGUGUUUUCUCGAAGCAGGUCCUAGGUGAGUUGGUGUGGCUCUCUCGGCAGUUAACAUGCAACACAGUUAGAAACAAUGGUUAGCCAUCUCUUACUGGGUUUUGUGGUACAACUAUAACAAAGUGUAUCAUGAGGGUAUAGGGAUGGGAUCUAGGAUGUUGUGGGAUUCAUAAAUUCAUAUAUAAUGGAGAUAGAGCAAUUGAGUGAGUUAUCAAAUUCAAUACAUAUCCCUAAGCAAUCUAUUUUGGAGCCACCGGAAGGGGACACUAUUAAGCUUAACUUCAACACAUCUUUUAAUCACCAGUUACAGACAUCAUAUUCUGGCAUAAUAGCACGAAAUAGAGAAGGACUGGUCAUGGCGUUAUGCACUUCCCUGUGGGAGAACAUUCCAGAUCCAACCAUGGCUAGGCACAAACAUGUUUAAAGGUGGUUUUUUUUGCAGAAGAGUUGGGUUUUUGGAAUGUGUGUGUCAAGGGGGAUGCUCUAAUAGUCAUCCAAAAAUUGAACUCUAUAGAAGAGGAUAGAUCCAGUAUUAGUACUCUUAUUAAAGACAUAAAAGAAAGGGUAACCAAGUUUUGAAGCCUUCAAUUUAGAUUCGUACCUUGGGAGGCUAAUGCGACGAUGCAUGGAUUGGUGUUGGAGGGCAGAAAGUACAACUGCCCUAUGUAUUGGGUAGAAGAGGUCCGGAGAGAGGUGGAAUGGUUUGUUGACAAGGAUAGGAGAGGGGUUGGGGGAAGUGACCAUUCGUAAAGGCUGAGUCUGAAUUCGAGGAUAAUGGGUUGUCCGAUGAACUCGUAAGCUUGAUGUGAGGUUUUCCAGUUUUCCUCUCACUAGAGUUUGUUUUUUCUUGUUACCUCGUCGAAGUGAUGGUGCUUAAGAGCUUGAAAGUUGUAUGGAGAGGAAAGGGGUUAGAUGAGGGGACUUUUCAUUUCUUUCUUGUUUUGUGUUUUGUUUCUUCUGUUAUGUUUUGUUGUUUUACUUUGUUUUCGUUUACUGUGGGCAUGUUUAAUGUGAUUAGGUUCUUUUGAGGUCCCCUAGGCAUCGGUUAGUUAUCCAUUAGUUGGGCGACACGUACGAAUAGAUUGUAACCAUUUUUUCCCCAAAAUUUGAAUGGCAUCG
rnacentral:lncRNA from 1 species